UUAAUACAUUUUAUAGUUUCUUGAAUCUUUAUUUAUUUCUUUUACUUUUAUAUUUAGAUACAAUGUAGUUAUCGAGAUAAGCUUCUUUACAUUCUUGCAAUUUUGAAGUUGGAUCUUGUUCAAAAGAAAGUCUUUAUAUUUACAAAUACAAUUGACACAAGUUUUAGACUAAAACUUUGAGCAAGUAUUAUUUUUCCCAUUAAAUUAAUCUUUUUUUACCUAUUAUAGAUUUUAAUAAAACUUUUUAUAUAUUUUUUGACAGUUUGGUAUAAAAUCUGCUGUGUUAAAUGCUGAAUUGCCUGUGAAUUGACGUCUACAUAUUCUUGAGGGUUUUGGUUCUUAAAUGAAUAAAGAAAACAAAUUUCCUGGGCGGGAAAGAAGCAGACAUACUUGCUGGUAAGAUGAGUAUGGUACAGUUGCAAGGGCGGGACCAGUUGCUGACAGCACAAAAUGAAAUGCUCAAGGUACUCUACUCUACUGCUUCAUCAUAUAUGUCUGCAAGUUUGGUUGGCAGUUUCCCUUAUUACAGAUGCGUUGGCUGCAUCUGGUCAGGCGUUGAUUGCUAGUUCGAUUUCAAAAGGGAAUUAUAGAUCUGUGAAGGAUAUUACAUACUUCGUGUUGACUGUAAUGUUAAUUAAUAAUUAUUUUGUUUAUAUAAUAUAUAAAGAUGUUUUUAUUUUAUAAAAGUUAAUUAAUGUUUUAUUAUUUUCUUUAGAUUGGUUUUGUGAUGGGUGUUACUUUGGCUGCAAUAUUGGGAGUUUCAUUUGGUUCCAUAGUCACACUGUUCACUAAGGACAUUGGAGUAUUGGCGAUUGCUAGAACCGGGGUUUUGUUUGUGAGUGCUAGUCAGCCUUUGAAUGCUUUUGCUUUUAUUGUUGAUGGUUUGCAUUAUGGAGUUUCAGACUUCCCGUAUGCUGCUUAUUCCAUGGUAUGCUUUUUUUUAGACAUGAAUAUAAAAUUACAUAUUUGCCCUUGGAUUAAUAUGUUUUCACUGUAGAUGCUUGUUGGGAUUUUAUCGUCUGUAAUUGCAACUUGUUAUGAGAUGGUAUUACCACAUUUUUCAUACUAAUACUAAUUACUAAGGCAGAUUUCAUUUGAAGUGUCUCUUGGAUUAAUAAUAGCACAAUGUUUAUCAGGCCAAAACCAUUGCAUUUUGCAAUAGUUGAUGAACUUGAUUAUGUCCUAAUUGAUGAGGGAAGAAACACAUUGCUGAUAAGGGGUGAGGCUAGCAAGGAUGCUGCACGUAACACAGUUGCUGCUAAAGUAGCUGAGCUUCUCAUGCGUGGCCUCGUAUUUUACUUUUUUGCCCUUCUUUUUCCUUUUUGAUGUCUUGUUAUCCAUCUCCAUUGUAUGCGUAUCUCAUUGUUUGUUCCACUACACAUCAUGUAAAUUUAUAUAUUGUAACAAAUAGAAUUGUAAGACAUUAAAUUUUAUGAAAUGGAUUAUAUUUUUUGUA